rnacentral:rRNA from 1 species
UAGGGAAUCUUCCACAAUGGACGCAAGUCUGAUGGAGCAACGCCGCGUGAGUGAAGAAGGUUUUCGGAUCGUAAAGCUCUGUUGUUGGUGAAGAAGGAUAGAGGCAGUAACUGGUCUUUAUUUGUCGGUAAUCACCCAGAAAGUCACGGCUAACUACGUGCCAGCAGCCGCGGUAAUACGUAGGUGGCAAGCGUUGUCCGGAUUUAUUGGGCGUAAAGCGAGCGCAGGCGGAAUGAUAAGUCUGAUGUGAAAGCCCACGGCUCAACCGGGGAACUGCAUCGGAAACUGUCAUUCUUGAGUGCAGAAGAGGAGAGUGGAAUUCCAUGUGUAGCGGUGGAAUGCGUAGAUAUAUGGAAGAACACCAGUGGCGAAGGCGGCUCUCUGGUCUGCAACUGACGCUGAGGCUCGAAAGAAUGGGUAGCGAACAGG